rnacentral:tRNA from 1 species
GGAGCGGUGUCCGAGUGGUUGAAGGAGGCGGUCUUGAAAACCGUUGUGCCGUCAGGUACCGGGGGUUCGAAUCCCCCUUGCUCCG